rnacentral:pre_miRNA from 14 species
CUGCCUAACAGCGGAUUCCAGUAACUCUGAGCAUAUACAUGAAGUUUCAAAACAAUGUAAAUGCCAGUCGUUGCUGGAAUUCGAUAAGCAC